rnacentral:rRNA from 1 species
UACGUAGGGUGCAAGCGUUAAUCGGAAUUACUGGGCGUAAAGCGUGCGCAGGCGGUUUGUCGCGUCGAAUGUGAAAACCCGGGGCUCAACCCCGGGCCUGCAUUCGAUACGGGCAGACUAGAGUUCGGUAGGGGAGUCUGGAAUUCCUGGUGUAGCGGUGAAAUGCGCAGAUAUCAGGAGGAACACCAAUUGCGAAGGCAGCUCGCUGGGACGUUACUGACGCUGAGACGCGAAAGCGUGGGGAGCAAACAGG